UUCAGGUAACACUGAAUGGAGGACCGAACCGACUUACGUUGAAAAGUGAGCGGAUGAACUGAGGGUAGCGGAGAAAUUCCAAUCGAACCUGGAGAUAGCUGGUUCUCUCCGAAAUAGCUUUAGGGCUAGCCUCAAGUGAUGAUUAUUGGAGGUAGAGCACUGUUUGGACGAGGGGCCCCUCUCGGGUUACCGAAUUCAGACAAACUCCGAAUGCCAAUUAAUUUAACUUGGGAGUCAGAACAUGGGUGAUAAGGUCCGUGUUCGAAAGGGAAACAGCCCAGACCACCAGCUAAGGUCCCAAAAUAUAUGUUAAGUGGAAAAGGAUGUGGCGUUGCCCAGACAACUAGGAUGUUGGCUUAGAAGCAGCCAUCAUUUAAAGAGUGCGUAAUAGCUCACUAGUCGAGUGACACUGCGCCGAAAAUGUACCGGGGCUAAACAUAUUACCGAAGCUGUGGAUUGUCCUUUGGACAAUGGUAGGAGAGCGUUCUAAGGGCGUUGAAGCAUGAUCGUAAGGACAUGUGGAGCGCUUAGAAGUGAGAAUGCCGGUGUGAGUAGCGAAAGACGGGUGAGAAUCCCGUCCACCGAUUGACUAAGGUUUCCAGAGGAAGGCUCGUCCGCUCUGGGUUAGUCGGGUCCUAAGCUGAGGCCGACAGGCGUAGGCGAUGGAUAACAGGUUGAUAUUCCUGUACCACCUAUAAUCGUUUUAAUCGAUGGGGGGACGCAGUAGAAUAGGCGAAGCGUGCGAUUGGAUUGCACGUCUAAGCAGUAAGGCUGAGUAUUAGGCAAAUCCGGUACUCGUUAAGGCUGAGCUGUGAUGGGGAGAAGACAUUGUGUCUUCGAGUCGUUGAUUUCACACUGCCGAGAAAAGCCUCUAGAUAGAAAAUAGGUGCCCGUACCGCAAACCGACACAGGUAGUCAAGAUGAGAAUUCUAAGGUGAGCGAGCGAACUCUCGUUAAGGAACUCGGCAAAAUGACCCCGUAACUUCGGGAGAAGGGGUGCUCUUUAGGGUUAACGCCCAGAAGAGCCGCAGUGAAUAGGCCCAAGCGACUGUUUAUCAAAAACACAGGUCUCUGCUAAACCGUAAGGUGAUGUAUAGGGGCUGACGCCUGCCCGGUGCUGGAAGGUUAAGAGGAGUGGUUAGCUUCUGCGAAGCUACGAAUCGAAGCCCCAGUAAACGGCGGCCGUAACUAUAACGGUCCUAAGGUAGCGAAAUUCCUUGUCGGGUAAGUUCCGACCCGCACGAAAGGCGUAACGAUUUGGGCACUGUCUCAACGAGAGACUCGGUGAAAUCAUAGUACCUGUGAAGAUGCAGGUUACCCGCGACAGGACGGAAAGACCCCGUGGAGCUUUACUGUAGCCUGAUAUUGAAAUUCGGCACAGCUUGUACAGGAUAGGUAGGAGCCUUUGAAACGUGAGCGCUAGCUUACGUGGAGGCGCUGGUGGGAUACUACCCUAGCUGUGUUGGCUUUCUAACCCGCACCACUUAUCGUGGUGGGAGACAGUGUCAGGCGGGCAGUUUGACUGGGGCGGUCGCCUCCUAAAAGGUAACGGAGGCGCUCAAAGGUUCCCUCAGAAUGGUUGGAAAUCAUUCAUAGAGUGUAAAGGCAUAAGGGAGCUUGACUGCGAGACCUACAAGUCGAGCAGGGUCGAAAGACGGACUUAGUGAUCCGGUGGUUCCGCAUGGAAGGGCCAUCGCUCAACGGAUAAAAGCUACCCCGGGGAUAACAGGCUUAUCUCCCCCAAGAGUUCACAUCGACGGGGAGGUUUGGCACCUCGAUGUCGGCUCAUCGCAUCCUGGGGCUGUAGUCGGUCCCAAGGGUUGGGCUGUUCGCCCAUUAAAGCGGUACGCGAGCUGGGUUCAGAACGUCGUGAGACAGUUCGGUCCCUAUCCGUCGUGGGCGUAGGAAAUUUGAGAGGAGCUGUCCUUAGUACGAGAGGACCGGGAUGGACAUACCUCUGGUGUACCAGUUGUCGUGCCAACGGCAUAGCUGGGUAGCUAUGUGUGGACGGGAUAAGUGCUGAAAGCAUCUAAGCAUGAAGCCCCCCUCAAGAUGAGAUUUCCCAACUUCGGUUAUAAGAUCCCUCAAAGAUGAUGAGGUUAAUAGGUUCGAGGUGGAAGCAUGGUGACAUGUGGAGCUGACGAAUACUAAUCGAUCGAAGACUUAAUCAAAA
rnacentral:rRNA from 1 species